rnacentral:rRNA from 1 species
AACGAACGCUGGCGGCAUGCCUAACACAUGCAAGUCGAACGAGACCUUCGGGUCUAGUGGCGCGCGGGUGCGUAACGCGUGGGAACCUGCCCUUAGGUUCGGAAUAACUCCCCGAAAGGGGUGCUAAUACCGGAUAAUGUCUUCGGACCAAAGAUUUAUCGCCUUUGGAUGGGCCCGCGUUGGAUUAGCUAGUUGGUAGGGUAAAAGCCUACCAAGGCGACGAUCCAUAGCUGGUCUGAGAGGAUGAUCAGCCACACUGGGACUGAGACACGGCCCAGACUCCUACGGGAGGCAGCAGUGGGGAAUAUUGGACAAUGGGCGAAAGCCUGAUCCAGCAAUGCCGCGUGAGUGAUGAAGGCCUUGGGGUUGUAAAGCUCUUUUACCCGGGAUGAUAAUGACAGUACCGGGAGAAUAAGCUCCGGCUAACUCCGUG